GUGGGGAAUAUUGGACAAUGGGGGGAACCCUGAUCCAGCCAUGCCGCGUGUGUGAAGAAGGCCUUUUGGUUGUAAAGCACUUUAAGCGAGGAGGAGGCUACUUAGAUUAAUACUCUAGGAUAGUGGACGUUACUCGCAGAAUAAGCACCGGCUAACUCUGUGCCAGCAGCCGCGGUAAUACAGAGGGUGCGAGCGUUAAUCGGAUUUACUGGGCGUAAAGCGUGCGUAGGCGGCAUCUUAAGUCGGAUGUGAAAUCCCUGAGCUUAACUUAGGAAUUGCAUUCGAUACUGGGAAGCUAGAGUAUGGGAGAGGAUGGUAGAAUUCCAGGUGUAGCGGUGAAAUGCGUAGAGAUCUGGAGGAAUACCGAUGGCGAAGGCAGCCAUCUGGCCUAAUACUGACGCUGAGGUACGAAAGCAUGGGGAGCAAACAGGAUUAGAUACCCUGGUAGUCC
rnacentral:rRNA from 1 species